GACGAACGCUGGCGGCGUGCUUAACACAUGCAAGUCGAACGAAGUGGCGAACGGGUGAGUAACGCGUAAUCAACCUGCCCUUCAGAGGGGGACAACAGUUGGAAACGACUGCUAAUACCGCAUACUGAAGGCGGGGAUUGCGUCUGAUUAGCUAGUUGGAGGGGUAACGGCCCACAAAGGCGAUGAUGAGUAGCCGGACUGAGAGAAGGAACGUGCACAUUGGGACGGAGACACGGCCCAGACUCCUACGGGAGGCAGCAGUGGGGAAUCUUCCGCAAUGGACGAAAGUCUGACGGAGCAACGCCGCGUGAGUGAUGACGGCCUUCGGAUUGUAAAGCUCUGUUAAUCGGGACGCGGUACCGGAAUAGAAAGCCACGGCUAACUACGUGCCAGAAGCCGCGGGAAUUC
rnacentral:rRNA from 1 species